UUGGCCGUUGCAAGGUCCAAGCCCCAAUGGUCACAAGCUGUUGACAGCUCCAUGGUCCAAACCCAAAUAGCCAAGAGCUGUUGAUUGUUUCCAGGGUGCAACCCCCAACAUUUCAUGGACUGUUGACGGUUGCCACGGUCUGAGUCCCAACAUUGCAGGGACUGUUGGAGAGGCCCUCCCCGGCUCUCGCCUCAUCCCUGCUCCCUGCUGGCCCAGGCACCAGCCCUGCCUCCCCCAUGUCCCCACAACCCUGCUGGGCAGCUGGGCAGGGACCCAGCUCAUGAGUUCCAAGUUCCUGCACCAGGCAGCAUCAGUUUGCAGAGCCUCAUCGGACAGAGCAGUUUUCUCCGAGGUGGAGCAAAUCUUAAGAAUUUAUAAAAUGUGAUCGCAUACAGUAAUGAGUUGCAUGCUUCCUAUCUAGGCUGAUUCUGUCUCUGGAGGAAAAGACCCUGUGCCUCAGAUCACUGGAAGAAAGGAACCAGGUGCUGAACAAUCAGCUGUCUCAGUUUCAUUCUGCUCUUCAGCAGGCUGAACAACUCUCUUCAAUUUGUGCAGGACAACUGAAGCAGCUCAACACCCAGAUCCAGGCCCUGCAGGAUGCAGUGACAGAGAAGGCAGCUCAGCAGGACACUCAAGAGAAGGAGCUGCUGCAGGAGCUGGAAAAGUCCCGAGCAGGAGAACAGAGCUUGAGGGACGCUGUGCAUGUGCUGCAGGCUGAGGUGUCUGAGCUGCGUCUGAGGCUCCAGAGCUCUGAGGAAAGAGCAGAGGCCAUGGCCACACACUGUGAGGCCAUGGAGAUGGAGCUGAGGAUGGCUCAGGCUGACAACAACCAAAUCAAGGCCUGCAAACAGGAGCUGCAGACACUGUUGGAGGAAACUCAGCAAGCAAUAUGGAGGGCAGAAGAGCAGAAGACCUCUCUAGAAACUGCCUUGAAGGAAGAGGCUGUGACUGUUCGUCAGGAGGUGGCAUCACUGCAGAGGAAACUGGAGAGCCA